AGUUAGGUCAGCAUCCCUAUACCUGCCUGGUGACAAGAAUCAACAGGAUCCACUGGUUAACCAUGGAGGUUUCUAGGCUUCUCUCCGAUCAGAAUUUCAAAUCCGUCCCUUUAACACGUGAUCCCCGGUGAUUCUGACAAGCAGGCAAGUUUAGAAAAUAUUGAAUUGGUUCAUUGUAAUUUCCUGAUAUUGAGUUUAGAAGGCACAGUCCACCAAUUCUCACGCUCAUACACUUGCCCCCAUGGGUGCGUGUAGAGGUUUUCUUUCUUUUUCUCUCUCCCUCCCUCUUUCCCUCCCUCCCUGCCCCUUUUUUCUUUCCCUUUCCUUCUUUUUCUGGCAUAGUCAUUAAAUGUGAAUGUUUAUAGUAGCAAUAUGACUACUCAUCACGGGAGAGGGAGUUAAAGGAAAUCGAAAAAAGCAACUCCAGGCUCCGCAUGUCACUACUUGAUGCAAUUUACAAACUUAGAAACUUCCAUGGAUGAUUUGGGUAUAUUACUAACUAUCUAACGAGGCGGGUUUUAUGUGUAUGUAUGUGUGUUUGCUUUUUAAACACUUAUCAAGUAAGUUUGGGUAAUCAAGCUGAGUCAUUUAAUUCCUUUAAAAAAGCCCCUAAUCCAUCUUCCACUUGGGAAUUUUGAAUCUGGAAACUUCAAGUGUUGUACAUAUGAUGUGCUCUUUCUAAAAAAAUGACUUGCAUAAAACCCAGGACUAUUUUCACUCUGUGUGUUCACUGUACUCAGGCAGCAUCCGGGAAAUUUGGGCUUGAAUUAGCUCUGCUCCUCUUCUGACCCGCAUCCUUCUCAUUUUUAGAUAGGCUCUUUUCGGAUCCCAACCAGUCUUUUACUUCUUUAAAGUUUCUUGAAAAUGAAAAUGAGCAUGUUGUAUUUCCCAGGUUGUGUACAUUGAACUUACAGCAGUACUAAUAAAUGAAUUUAUGUCUCUACCUGAAAUGAAUUAGGAAAAAAAUAAAUAUAACACCACAGAUAGAGGUUCAUAGUGAGGAAGAAUAUUGAACUUGGGUGGUGUGAAUUCUUUCUGUGUCCCGAGUCCUUUCAUUAAUUCAUGCUGAGGAUGGAGCAAAGCAGAUAUGUGUAUGUGUUUAUUAAACUUGAAUUUGAUUGAAGGGUGACAAGGAAGAGUGAUUUCUUUGUAUGUGAUCCAAAAAAUAGGGUAAUUGGUUCUUGUGUAGGUUAUAAUAUACCUUAUCUUUCUUCCUUCUAAUAUGUGUUACUGAUAAAAAGAAAUAAUUAAACAUCUUGCUUAGUAUGUUUUUUAUAAAACUUAUUAUUAUUAUUAUUAUUUUUUUGUGAAGCUUGUGUCUGACUCCCGAAUGUCUUUUCCUAAUAUGGUAAGUAACACAUUUCAGAGAGAGCUUUCUUUGACUUGGUUUUACUAUUAGUUAAUUCCUCUACCAUGUCCUAUUUUCACUAUCAGAAGUGGCUCAUUUCUUGUUGGGAGCUGUGGUUUAUUGAGGAGGGGAGUUCCUUUAAGGCUAGUAAUACUUUGGAAUCCCCAGGGAUGGUCCAUGACAAAAAGAGAUCAGAAUUCUGAAGUGACACCUUUCAAACCACAGCCAGUCUAUCAUCUGAGUCAUAGUCAUCAACGGGGUCAGUCCACACAGAAAAGGGGAAAAUAAAGGAAGAAAUCCUAUAAAAGUACAGUAUACCUAAUAGAAAAACUUUCAGUCAUGCUUUAGAAUUUUGAGAUCUAACCCUAAAACAUUUUAUGCUUAAAAUUACAGAGACCCAAACCAAGUACCAACCAUAACUUUCCCUUCACUAUCGUAAGUGGUUUUGUUUUUAUAUAUUUUGUUGAAUACACGUUCUUUGAGUUGGCUCUGAACAUCUUCCUUUUUUUUUCUAAAGAGGUUUUCCUAACACUCCAUGCAUCACAUUAAUUAAGGAAUAAUGGAAUUUAUCUGAAAAAGUGUAAGCCACUCAAUCCUUUGUUAGAGGUGUCUAUGUGACUGACAGGUCUGAAAGGGCUUCCAGAGCCAGCCAUGCACAUUAGUCAUUGAAAGGGUUCUAGAAAUGGAGCUCACAUAUCCUGGCAAUAAAAAGUGAGGGAUAACCAAGUUAUUUUCUUUCAUAAAUAACAUUGUGAUUACUGCUCAUGAGAAGGGCUGAGUAUUUUCAGCUGCUACUGAGCAGAGCCUUCUCUUCAUUUCCCACUGUGGCUCAGUCUUGGCUGGCUGACAAGUUGCCUGACUAUGGUUGUGACAUUCAUUUUUAGCUUCUGUCACUGCCACCUGUUGUAAACUUAGCUUUCAUUUUUUUUUUGUGUGUGUGUGUGUUAUCUUUGCCUCUCACAAGCAAAAGGGCUUCACAUAUAAGGAAUAUAGUGUAAUAAAUAGAAUUCAUGUCUCAUGAGCCCUGGAUUGACAUGCCCAGGUUGCAGCUUUGAGCGAUAGCACUCCCCUCCUAUCCCAUCCCUCCCCACAGAGUCCUCUGCAAGACUGAAGAGGCUGAAAGGACUUACCUUUUACCCAAAGUCGUAGCACUGGAGGUGUAGCUCAGUGGAGCCUGUGCGAGGCCCUGGGUUCAGUCCUAAGCAUCCAAAAAUUAAAAAAAAAAAAAAAAUUGUAAAGAGUAGAUUGGAAAACAUAAUGGUAGCUCCCCAGACAACAUUGGAACAUAAUGAAUAAACAGAUUUUAAUGUCUUUCAGCAGAGUGAAACCUACAAGGAGAUGGCAUCAAGAAGCCCUGCUCAGACUCAACUUGAAGUCCUGGCUCCAGCACUUAAUUCUACCUUGGGAUUCUCAACUCUCUUUCAACCUCAGUUUCCUUAUUUGUAAAAUGGGCAGAAUGUUUUGUAACCUACCUAAGUAGUUUAAAAAAUGUUGUGUGUGUGUGUGUGUUUUGUGUGUGUAUGUGUGUGUUUGUGUGUAUGUGUGUGAAACUAUGGAAACUGAGAGCCAGGCACAGAUGCUCAUGCCUAUAAUCCUAGUAGCUAAGAAGCUGAGGCAGAAGGAGUGCCAGUUUAAAGCCAGCCUCAGCAACUUAGUGAGGCCCUAAGCAACUUAGUGAGACCCUAUCUCAAAAUAAAAAAUAAAAAAAAAAGGGCUAGGGCUGUGGCUCAGUGGUUGAGCACCCCUGGGUUAGAUACUAAGGUGCAUAAGGUGCUACAGAUAUGACUACAAAGUUUUUGGGAGUCAGGCAUGGUGUUUUUUUCAAAUGGAGCUCAAACAGUUCCCAUCUGCCAAACCUUGUUUCCUUUUUUGCUUUUCCUGAAUGACUCUGUUGGCACUUGUUAUGAGCUAUUUUGCAGAUUUUUUUUUCUUCUGUCACUUUAACUCUGUUCUAAUCUCUUCAAGAGCGAGGACCCAACUUUGUGGGCUGCAUACUCUCAGCUGGCAGGAAAGAUGGGGGGAAAUCCCACACCAGAGUGGGAAGGCCAGAGUUAUGAGAGGAGCAGAGGUGGUCUUCUCGGAGGAGAGCAAAGAAAAAUGAGAAUUUUGAUGUCAUGGAGAAAUUCUGAGAUGAAAAGGAGUAUGGAGGGGCUUCCAUGAACUUGCCAUGAUCUUUGUAAAGAAAAAAACAAUAAGACAAGGAAAAGAGGGGAAGGGAGGAAGGGUCUUGAGAAAGCAUUUAUCAAAUUAUGGUGUCAAUCUAAUGCAUCCCAUACCUUUCCAUUCCUGUGUGAGGAACAAAGGUCAUGUCUUGUUAGUGUUUGAAAAUCUCAGUGCCUAUUACAAUAACUCACACACAACACAGUUUUUUGACUCUGAUGUGAGUAGAAAAUGAUGUUAUUGUUUAGUCAUUUUAUUAUUUAUGCUAUAUUAUAAUAAUAGAAUAUGUUGUAUAUGAUAACACAUGUGCGUGACACCAUUAUAGUAAUAGCAUUUAUUAGCAUUUAUAUCAUGUGUUAGAACCCUAUGUCUAUUAUUUCAUUUACUGUUGAGACAAGGUAAAUCCUAUAAUUAUGUCCAUUUUAGAGAUGAGAAGACUGAGGUUUUGAAAAGAAGUGUUGUAACAGGGUUAUAGAACAAGAGUAUUGAGUUAAUGGAAAUUCAGAUAAUUAGAGGAGAGAGUUGAGAGUCCAGCUGAGGCUAACCAGAUGACUUUGAGAAGGAACUUAGCAUAAUUCCUAUUUAUCCCCACAAUGUUCUGAAAGCUGGGGUAGUUGAUUGAGUUAUCUAGACUUAGAAUGCAAUGGUUAUGUGAAUAUCACCUGCUGUGUGCUCCACCUUGGGCCUAUUAGCUAUGAGUGUAAUAAAGAGGGAAUGCCUGUAAUCCCAGCAGCUAGGAGACUGAGACAAGAGGAUCGCAAGUUCAAAGCCAGCCUCAGCAACAAUGAGGCACUAAGCAACUCAGUGAGACCUUGUCUCUAAAUUAAAAGUACAAAGAGAGAGAGAGAGAGAGAGAGAGAGAGAGAGAGAGAGAGAGAGAGAGAGAGAGAGAGGACACAGUUUUGAAUGGAUGUAGGAAGUCAAGACAUGUUCUUCAGCCAAUUGGAGACAAAUACUUGUCCUUGCCUUCAUAUAUUUUAGAUGAUUCAAACCAUUCCUUGUGCUUUGCUCCACCCUCUCUAGCUAAAUGACUUGGCUGCUGGCCUGUAUGCUUUUAACUUCAUUCAGGAAAUACUGGUUAAGAUGAUUCGGGAGGGGCCCCUUGGAGGUUGGUGAACCUGACAACCCCUGCAGCCUACAUGUGCACAGCCCAGUUAUUUGCAGAUUAAUGGAUGUAGGGGGAAAGGAGGAGGCAGGAAUCCUCACUGAACUCCUGGGUGGAGUUGCUGGAGGUAUUCUUCAAGUCACACCGGCUACCUUUUUGUAGUCAGGGCAGGGCCAGUCUGCUAGCUCCCAAAGCAGAACCGCUCCCCUCUUCCAAAGCCAAGUCUGCUCAGGGAAAUGUAGGAGGGAUUGUGCAAUCUUUCCAGUGUAGGGGAAAGGGGACAGGUGGAUAGGAGUUAAAUUGUUGAGUUAUGAAGCAAUAGAUUAUGCUUUCAUUUUAAAAACCUUGGGAAAGGAAGAAUUUGGUAAGCAUAUCAAUUCAGCACUUAACAGUUUCUGCCUUCAUUCUAUCAAAACCACUUGUUAAAAUUGUGCUAUUUUUCGAUCUGGACUACGAAGCAUUCUCAAAAGAGAGCAGAUGUGAUGGUGAGAAGUUUUAUAACAAUGUCACUGAAAGAGUAAUUAAAAGGGGUGACUAUGGUUGCUUUGGGGAGGAGAAGUUCUCAACCAUGUGCUGGCUCAGCCUAGCCUGCACCUGGGCCCAACUGAAGAGACCAGGAUUGACUUAGGAUGCAGUUCGAACAGUGGAAUCUUAUUUUUUUCCCCCUAGAACCUCAUAUGUGCUGGGCAAGCACUCUAUCAUUGAGCUACACUUCUUACCCUGGAUAGUAGAAUUUUAAAAGUUGUUUUCGUUGAUUCUAAUGCACACUUGAGUUGAUAACACUGUUUAGGGAGCCGAUUGCCUGCAGAAUAAAUAAAAGCUUCUUGUGGGAAAGGAUCUUGAUUUGUUCAAUAACCAGUGCCCAUGGUAGGCAGUGUGAGGGAACAAGAUAGGGCUCAAAGGAAAGGAAGGUUUAGAACUUUGUGCUACAGAUGGAAGUAACUUCGUGGGUAGAGAAGCUUGUGACACUGGAGGGGACCAAGGAUAAGGUAGAACUGGAACAGUGAUGGCCAAGUAGUGCCAGGAGGAUCAGAUGCCCCCUGGAUCCCUUUCCCCUCCUCUCAGCAGCUCUGCUUUCUCUCUUUUUCCUGUAUUGGGUUUCCCCAUAAGAUUUCCUUUGAAGAAAGAGGUCUGCUCAAAAAAGUUUUAAAACCACUUAACCAGUUGACCUUUAUGUCUGUUACCAACUCUGAAAUUUUAUUGUGUUAUGUCUUUGAUGUUUUCUAAGAACCAGGCUAUUAAUUGAUCCAUUCUUCAAAAGUCUGAGGGGCAAAGGAAGGAGGGCCUGAAAGUUUGGGAAGUGUGAGUAGCAGGGGAGAACUUCUCUUUGCUGAGACCCCCUACUCACUUUAGAUCUGAAAUCACCUGGGAACUGUUCAACAAAAUCCCCUCCAAACCAAUGGACCCAGUCUCUGGGAAAGGCUCCAGGCAUAGGUAUUCAUGAAGGGUAGCAGAACUGAGAGAUACUGGCUUAAUGGGUGGGUAAUAAGAGUGGAUCCUCUUUUUUGUUGGUUUGGUUUGGUUUGUUUUUGUUUUGUUUUGCAUAUAUUGAGGCUGAACAUGUUAGACAACCACCAACACAGUGGUUCUUUUUUUUUGGGGGGGUGGGGGGGUUCUGGGUAUUGAACUCAGGGACACUCAACCCCUGAGCCACAUCCCCAACCCUAUUUUGUAUUUUAUUUAGAGACAGGGUCUCACUGAGUUGCUUAGUGCCUCACUAUUGCUGAGGCUGGCUUUGAACUUAUGUUCCUCCUGUCUCAGCCUCUUGAGCUGCCAGGAACACAGUGGUUCUUAAACUUCAGGUGCAUCAGAAUCACCUGGAAGUCUUUUUUGGGUCCCACCACCCCAGAGCUUCUGAUUUAGGAGUGCUGUGAUUGGGCCAACAGUUUGCAUUUUUAGCAAGUUCUAGGUGAUGCUGAUACUAAUGAUUGGGAUCCCACUUUGAAAACUGCUACUAUGACAAAAGGAAUUCACUUUAGACAUCAAAAAGAACCUCCUAAUUGUAUAAUGGGUAGCAUGCACCCUUGAUAUGAUAUGAUACCAUAUGGCAUUUUAUCUCUGUGGCCUUCCUUCUCCAAAUGUGUUAACCUAGUCUCAAAAUGAGAAAAACAUCAGAAAGAUCCUAGUUCAGGGACAUUCUACAACAUUCCUGACCAUUAAUUUUCAAAACCAUCAAAAUCAUGAAAACUGAAGAAAAUCUAAGAAACUGUCAGAGCCAAGGGGAAUCAAGGAGACAUGAUAUGGAAUGGAAUGCAGAAAAAAAAGACAUCGGGGAACAACUGAGGACAUAAUGUAUCUAUGGAUUUAUUGGCUGUGACAAAUGUACCCCACUGAUGUAAUAUGUUAACAGGGAAACUGAGUGUAG
rnacentral:lncRNA from 1 species